rnacentral:lncRNA from 1 species
GGUGGCGGUAAAUUGAGAUGGUGGCCGGAAAUCGAAAAGAGAGAACGAACAGUGACGUCGCAGCCAUAGGUGCCGCGUGCGUAGGUUGGAGGCGGUGUUUGUCGGUGAUUCUCCUUGGGUUGGGUCACCGUCCUUCGCUUGCUUUCUUGGUGGUGGCGGUGUAGUGGAGUGGUGGCCGGAGGUGGUGAUCUCCAAUGAUGGCAGAGGAAUAGAAGGAGAGGUCGGGGAUAAGAAAGGGGGGAAGGCUGUGCGGCCG